rnacentral:rRNA from 1 species
UUCGCCCUUAGAGUUUGAUCCUGGCUCAGGAUGAACGCUGGCGGCGUGCCUAACACAUGCAAGUCGAACGGAUCCAUAUUGAAACCUAGUGAUGUAUGGAUUAGUGGCGGACGGGUGAGUAACGCGUGGAUAACCUGCCGUAUACAGGGGGAUAACACUUAGAAAUAGGUGCUAAUACCGCAUAAGCGCACGGUUCCGCAUGGAACAGUGUGAAAAACUCCGGUGGUAUACGAUGGAUCCGCGUCUGAUUAGCCAGUUGGCGGGGUAACGGCCCACCAAAGCGACGAUCAGUAGCCGGCCUGAGAGGGUGAACGGCCACAUUGGGACUGAGACACGGCCCAAACUCCUACGGGAGGCAGCAGUGGGGAAUAUUGCACAAUGGGGGAAACCCUGAUGCAGCGACGCCGCGUGAGUGAAGAAGUAUCUCGGUACGUAAAGCUCUAUCAGCAGGGAAGAAAAUGACGGUACCUGAUUAAGAAGCCCCGGCUAACUACGUGCCAGCAGCCGCGGUAAUACGUAGGGGGCAAGCGUUAUCCGGAUUUACUGGGUGUAAAGGGAGCGUAGACGGCAGCGCAAGUCUGGAGUGAAAUGCCGGGGCCCAACCCCGGAACUGCUUUGGAAACUGUGCAGCUCGAGUGCAGGAGAGGUAAGCGGAAUUCCUAGUGUAGCGGUGAAAUGCGUAGAUAUUAGGAGGAACACCAGUGGCGAAGGCGGCCUGCUGGACGACAACUGACGGUGAGGCACGAAAGCGUGGGUAGCAAACAGGAUUAGAUACCCUGGUAGUCCACGCUGUAAACGAUGAUUACUAGGUGUGGGUGGACUGACCCCAUCCGUGCCGGAGUUAACACAAUAAGUAAUCCACCUGGGGAGUACGACCGCAAGGUUGAAACUCAAAGGAAUUGACGGGGGCCCGCACAAGCAGUGGAGUAUGUGGAUUAAUUCGAUGCAACGCGAAGAACCUUACCAGGUCUUGACAUCCCGCUAACGAAGUAGAGAUACAUUAGGUGCCCUUCGGGGAAAGCGGAGACAGGUGGUGCAUGGUUGUCGUCAGCUCGUGUCGUGAGAUGUUGGGUUAAGUCCCGCAACGAGCGCAACCCUUACUGUUAGUUGCUACGCAAGAGCACUUUAGCAGGACCGCCGUUGACAAAACGGAGGAAGGUGGGGAUGAUGUCAAAUCAUCAUGCCCCUUAUGACCUGGGCCUCACACGUACUACAAUGGCCAUUAACAGAGGGAGGCAAAGCCGCGAGGCAGAGCAAAACCCCAAAAAUGGUCUCAGUUCGGAUCGUAGGCUGAAACCCGCCUGCGUGAAGUUGGAAUUGCUAGUAAUCGCGGAUCAGCAUGCCGCGGUGAAUACGUUCCCGGGCCUUGUACACACCGCCCGUCA